rnacentral:lncRNA from 10 species
CUAAAUAUAUGGGGAAAGAUGGGAAAGUAAAUAGCAAUUGGAUAUAAUUACUGAUAACCCAGGUAGGGUCAUUUUAGAAAGGAAAGAAUCUGAGUUAUUGCCAGUUUUCCUUAAUUAAUAUAAGUGAAUCAAAACAAAGGCUUUGAUUUCUUAUUUAAGAGUGGCUUUUAACAUUACUACGUUUAUUAGAUAACACCUUUCUUUUGAAAAGCUGACAUUAUUUUAACAGUUAUUAUUCCAAAUAAAUAGAUGGAUAAGUAGAUGGUGGGAAAAUAUCUACUCAACACUCAACUACUCAAGGUGAAGGUCUCCUGUGAGGGUGAUCUGGCUUCAACAUCUACCACCCAUUGAUCACCAGGGUUGAUUCAGCUGAUGUCUGGCUAUACAGGUGUCCCUUUCCUCCAGUGUUCCAUGCGUAACCCUCCUGAAGUUGAAAACUUGGUUGGAGAGGAUGACCUUCCCUGAUAGAAGAGGACCAUUCUUUAAUCAAGGGUGUUCAAGUAGCUCUCUAAGCUCUCAAGGUAAAGGUCUCACCUGCACUGUCAGUCUUAUAGUCAAUCAUAAUGUAUCAACACAUAAAGAAACUAAUAGCUAUAAAAAUUGUUGAAGAGGCUGACAUUUAAAAGAUUUACUCCAUUCCACACAGAUAUUUAGUGACAGAACUAGAAGCAGCAAUCAGAUUUGAUGCCAGUGUUUUACUGUUCAUUAUAGUCAGGUUGAGUUCCCUAGACAUUCACAGCUGGUUAAUUAAACAUUAUCUUUUCCUUAAUGGUUGUCCAAGAAAUAUCUGUGCAGCACUCUUAAGUAGUAUUCAUUCAUUCACUCAGCAAAGAUGUUGGACACUUGUUUUAUACCAGCAGUAUAUCAGGAGCUAGGGACAUGGCCAUGUGACUCUUGUCCUCAUAGAUGAUAUGUAUAGUAAUUAUAAGAGAAAGGCAAAAUUCAUCACACCUCAACUCAUAUAAGCAGAAAAAUUGUAAGUAUUUUAUAUUGUUUAUAAUUAACUAGGUCUUUUUCAGAGUCCCUACCUAGCAUAAGAAAAGAAACUUCAUUUAGUACAAUGUUGUUUAUAACUUAGUCCCACUAUUUUAAACAAUCUUUUUAAGUAAUAUUCAGUCUUUUCUGGAUAAUAACCCAACCUCUCUUAUUUUCAGGCCAUCCCCACUCCCUCUGCCUUCCUGUCUAAGGUAGUGUCAGGAUAUAUGUUGAGUACGAGGCUUAUGUGACUUCUAGAGGCAUGGUGAAGAAUCCUUUGAACCCCACUGUGCCCUCCAUAUCUUUGAUAGUCUCAGUGGCUAAUCCAGAAUUCAAUAAGGAGUGACUUAUCUGAUCCAGCCUAGGCAUCAGCCCCUAUUGGCAAUCUGUGAAUUAUUUACCUAUUCUUUUGACGCUUCCCCACUACAGUGGUCCAAACUUGUCUAUCUCUAGCUGUAGGAUUCUUAGAUGCUAUCAAGCCCUGUAGAUGCUCUCAAGGCCCAGGGAAUCCAUUCCUGUUUCUGCUGUAGGCCCACAGGGUGCUACUUGGCAGAAUCUCUAGCUCUCAACAAAAUGUUCACCCAAUAUAGGAAACAAAGGAAGUUUGGAAGCAUAAGCUAGACCUUUCUGUCUGGACAAGUCAUUCUACCUUCUUGACAAUGCUGGGUCUCCCAUGUCAAAGUGAGGGUCCUCCACUCAAUGAUCUCUUUGUAAUUCUCCCAAACUAGGGGUGACUGAGCAGUUGGCUUUGGUGGUACCCAUCUCUUCUAAUUGAAGCCUACAGAGGAGGUUUCCAAACCCAGAUAUCCAGUAUCUUCACCCUCCCGCCUCUAUCAAGUUCUCUUCUUUCUUCACUUCCCCAGGGCUUGGAAGGAAUGAGGGCUCUAUUCACUGCCUUUUUUAAUUUGACUAUCCUUAUAUAAAAUUGUAUGUUUUUACACAGACAAUUAAAAUCUAGUACUUAAAACAUUAACAAGGAGCUAAAGGACUGUAGAUGCUCUCUAUAUUCCAAGCCUGGUUUUCAAGCCUACUGACUUAUUAUAAACAAGUACUUGCUCUCAUUUUUUACUUUCUGGAGCUAUAUGGCAGAUCAGGAUCAGGGAGAGAGAACUGAUAAAGAAACAGAUUGGGAGGUACUUAAAAUAUUAGUACUACUAUAUGAACAAAUAUACAAUCACAAAUUAUAAGUUCUUUGCAAAGUUAUAAAGAAAACAAACACGAGUUCUAAUAGACAUGAAACAGUUUUGGAAAGUUGCUUACAGAAGGCCCCUCUCCAGAGGUGACAUUUAAGCCAAAGAACUUUGUAAGAAAAUAAGAUACUACUCAUGGGAAUAGGGUGUGGAUGGGAGUCAGGGAACUACAAGUGGGGAAAGCAUGUGUAAAGUCCUAAAUUUGGAAAGAGCUUGGCACAUUUUAGAACCUGAAAGAAAGCCAGUGUCACUGAAGUGUGGUCAUUGAGGGGAAAGGAUGAGAUGAGAUCAGAGGAGGGAAGCGAGAUCAUGCAGGUCUCACAGGGCAGGCAAGGAGUUGGAUUUUACAACACUACAAGGGGAAGCUUUUCAAGAUUUUUAAGCGGACAUAAUCUUUACAUUUUUUAAGGAUUAUUCUAGCAGAUAUGUGGACUAUAAAUUAUAAAGGGGCAG